rnacentral:rRNA from 1 species
UAGGGAAUCUCGGCAAUGGACGAAAGUCUGACCGAGCAACGCCGCGUGAGUGAAGAAGGUUUCGGAUCGUAAAACUCUGUUGGUAGAGAAGAACAAGGAUGAGAGUAUCUGUUCAUCCCUGACGGUAUCUAACCAGAAAGCCACGGCUAACUACGUGCCAGCAGCCGCGGUAAUACGUAGGUGGCAAGCGUUGUCCGGAUUUAUUGGGCGUAAAGCGAGCGCAGGCGGUUUCUUAAGUCUGAUGUGAAAGCCCCCGGCUCAACCGGGGAGGGUCAUUGGAAACUGGGAGACUUGAGUGCAGAAGAGGAGAGUGGAAUUCCAUGUGUAGCGGUGAAAUGCGUAGAUAUAUGGAGGAACACCAGUGGCGAAGGCGGCUCUCUGGUCUGUAACUGACGCUGAGGCUCGAAAGCGUGGGGAGCAAACAGGAUUAGAUACCCUGGUAGUCCACGCCGUAAACGAUGAGUGCUAAGUGUUGGAGGGUUUCCGCCCUUCAGUGCUGCAGCUAACGCAUUAAGCACUCCGCCUGGGGAGUACGACCGCAAGGUUGAAACUCAAAGGAAUUGACGGGGGCCCGCACAAGCGGUGGAGCAUGUGGUUUAAUUGGAAGCAACGCGAAGAACCUUACCAGGUCUUGACAUCCUUUGACCACUCUAGAGAUAGAGCUUCCCCUUCGGGGGCAAAGUGACAGGUGGUGCAUGGUUGUCGUCAGCUCGUGUCGUGAGAUGUUGGGUUAAGUCCCGCAACGAGCGCAACCCUUAUUGUUAGUUGCCAUCAUUUAGUUGGGCACUCUAGCAAGACUGCCGGUGACAAACCGGAGGAAGGUGGGGAUGACGUCAAAUCAUCAUGCCCCUUAUGACCUGGGCUACACACGUGCUACAAUGGGAAGUACAACGAGUCAGCAAAGUCGCGAGGCCUAAGAAUCCUCUUUAAAGCUUCUU